UCAGAAUCCAUGCUGGAUAGACGAUAAUCACUUUCUGAUGUACCGCGAAUAGCGAUAGAUGUCUUUUGGGCAUCCAACAUCAUAAAAUUGCAACGCACUCGCAUUGCCUGACAAAUGUUGGUAGUGGAGAGUAUGCUGAAUUGUAAUUUCAAAUAUUGGGAAAGAUAAAUCCUUUGUAGACGACUUAAAUACAGAACGGGGUGUUGUAAGCAUGAGAGUAGUCUUGUACUACGAUCUGCUGAGAUUUAGCCCUUGUUCUAUUGAUUUGU
rfam:Pythium ultimum DAOM BR144 ctg_1117875579553, whole genome shotgun sequence.